UCUCCGUAGGUGAACCUGCGGAAGGAUCAUCAUCAAGUUUUAACUAAUAUCAAGGACUCUGUGAGUGGCAACCUUUGCAGAUUCUCCUUGGUAUUUAACCAAUGUGAAUUGGGGGAAGUAUAUUGAAGGACGCAAGUCUUGACUAUAUAUUGAACUCAUUUUUUCUCUUGAUGCAAAGACCAAUGUGUGUCAAAGCUCAUAUGUUUUAGUGUCUUGAGAGAUAUUAACUAUUAAAAGAGUCGGAUAAAAAACAAAAAAUUAAAAACAACUUUUAACAAUGGAUCUCUUGGCUCUU
rnacentral:misc_RNA from 1 species